rnacentral:misc_RNA from 1 species
UGUCGGAGCUGAAGGAGGAG